GCGAAAGUCCCCUUCGGGGGACAAGUAGAGUGGCGCACGGGUGAGUAACACGUAGGUAAUCUACCUUCGGGUGGGGAAUAACAACCGGAAACGGUUGCUAAUACCGCAUAAUGCAGCGGCACCUAAUGGUGACAGUUGUUAAAGCGGGGGAUCGCAAGAUCUCGCGCCUGAAGAGGAGCCUGCGGCGGAUUAGCUAGUUGGUAGGGUAAUGGCCUACCAAGGCGACGAUCCGUAGCCGGCCUGAGAGGGCGGUCGGCCACACUGACACUGACAUACGGGUCAGACUCCUACGGGAGGCAGCAGUCGGGAAUUUUGGGCAAUGGGCGAAAGCCUGACCCAGCAACGCCGCGUGAAGGAUGAAAUCCCUCGGGAUGUAAACUUCGCAAGAACGGGAAGAAUAAGUUUGUGCUAAUACCACAAGCGAUGACGGUACUGUUUGUAAGCUCCGGCUAACUCCGUGCCAGCAGCCGCGGUAAUACGGGGGGAGCAAGCGUUGUUCGGAUUUACUGGGCGUAAAGGGCGCGUAGGCGGCCUCCGCAAGUCAGUUGUGAAAUCUCCGAGCUUAACUCGGAAAGGUCAACUGAUACUGCGGGGCUAGAGUGCGGAAGGGGCAACUGGAAUUCUUGGUGUAGCGGUGAAAUGCGUAGAUAUCAAGAGGAACACCUGCGGCGAAGGCGGGUUGCUGGGCCGACACUGACGCUGAGGCGCGAAAGCUAGGGGA
rnacentral:rRNA from 1 species